GCGGGCGUGGCGGAAUUGGUAGACGCACUGGAUUUAGGUUCCAGCGGCGCAAGCCAUGGGGGUUCGAGUCCCUCCGUCCGCACCA
rnacentral:tRNA from 1 species